UUGUCCCUACGGGGGGCAGCAGUAGGGAAUCUUCCAAAAUGGACGAAAGUCUGAUGGAGCAACGCCGCGUGAGGGAAGACGGUCCUACGGAUUGUAAACCUCUUUUGCCGGGGAGCAACGGGGUCCUUGCGAGGUCCCAAUGAGAGUACCCGGAGAAAAAGCAUCGGCUAACUCCGUGCCAGCAGCCGCGGUAAUACGGAGGAUGCGAGCGUUAUCCGGAUUUAUUGGGUUUACAGGGUGCGUAGGCGGGCUGUUAGGUCAGCGGUCAAAUGUCGGGGCUAAACCCCUGCCUG
rnacentral:rRNA from 1 species